AUGAACGCUAGCUACAGGCUUAACACAUGCAAGUCGAGGGGCAGCAUGGUCUUAGCUUGCUAAGGCCGAUGGCGACCGGCGCACGGGUGAGUAACACGUAUCCAACCUGCCGUCUACUCUUGGAUAGCCUUCUGAAAGGAAGAUUAAUACAAGAUGGCAUCAUGAGUCCGCAUGUUCACAUGAUUAAAGGUAUUCCGGUAGACGAUGGGGAUGCGUUCCAUUAGAUAGUAGGCGGGGUAACGGCCCACCUAGUCUUCGAUGGAUAGGGGUUCUGAGAGGAAGGUCCCCCACAUUGGAACUGAGACACGGUCCAAACUCCUACGGGAGGCAGCAGUGAGGAAUAUUGGUCAAUGGGCGAGAGCCUGAACCAGCCAAGUAGCGUGAAGGAUGACUGCCCUAUGGGUUGUAAACUUCUUUUAUAAAGGAAUAAAGUCGGGUAUGGAUACCCGUUUGCAUGUACUUUAUGAAUAAGGAUCGGCUAACUCCGUGCCAGCAGCCGCGGUAAUACGGAGGAUCCGAGCGUUAUCCGGAUUUAUUGGGUUUAAAGGGAGCGUAGAUGGAUGUUUAAGUCAGUUGUGAAAGUUUGCGGCUCAACCGUAAAAUUGCAGUUGAUACUGGAUAUCUUGAGUGCAGUUGAGGCAGGCGGAAUUCGUGGUGUAGCGGUGAAAUGCUUAGAUAUCACGAAGAACUCCGAUUGCGAAGGCAGCUCACUGGACUGCAACUGACACUGAUGCUCGAAAGUGUGGGUAUCAAACAGGAUUAGAUACCCUGGUAGUCCACGCAGUAAACGAUGAAUGCUGGUUGUUCGGGCCGACUGAGGCCUGAGUAACGUAGUGAAAACGUUAAGCAUUCCACCUGGGGAGUACGCCGGCAACGGUGAAACUCAAAGGAAUUGACGGGGGCCCGCACAAGCGGAGGAACAUGUGGUUUAAUUCGAUGAUACGCGAGGAACCUUACCCGGGCUUAAAUUGCAGAUGAAUUACGGUGAAAGCCGUAAGCCGCAAGGCAUCUGUGAAGGUGCUGCAUGGUUGUCGUCAGCUCGUGCCGUGAGGUGUCGGCUUAAGUGCCAUAACGAGCGCAACCCUUGUUGUCAGUUACUAACAGGUUCCGCUGAGGACUCUGACAAGACUGCCAUCGUAAGAUGUGAGGAAGGUGGGGAUGACGUCAAAUCAGCACGGCCCUUACGUCCGGGGCUACACACGUGUUACAAUGGGGGGUACAGAGGGCCGCUACCACGCGAGUGGAUGCCAAUCCCCAAAACCUCUCUCAGUUCGGACUGGAGUCUGCAACCCGACUCCACGAAGCUGGAUUCGCUAGUAAUCGCGCAUCAGCCACGGCGCGGUGAAUACGUUCCCGGGCCUUGUACACACCGCCCGUCAAGCCAUGGGAGCCGGGGGUACCUGAAGUGCGUAACCGCGAGGAGCGCCCUAGGGUAAAACUGGUGACUGGGGCU
rnacentral:rRNA from 1 species